CGGUAUGAAAAGUUUUACAUGAAUUUAACUGUUAUUCAUCCUCUAAGAGGUGAAUUCAUGACAGUGCGGAGCUGACUGAUUACAGAUGCCUGACAUCUUUUUAUCUAUUGUUUUAGGUGGCUGCGAUAGGCUCAGCUCUGACAGGAGAUACCAAAGAAACUGAAUUCAGAACUUGGCAACCUAACUGGAUAAUAAAACUGUAGUCCCAAUCCUGCAAACCUUCUAAAUGUAGAACUCACGGAUGUCUAUGGAAGUUCUGCAUAAGCUUACAGAAUCAGGCCAUAUGUUAACAGGAUCAGGAAUGUCAAGAUUUGAUGGAGGACCUUAGAUGUUGAUUGGAAGAUCUUACGUGCUAACAGGACAGUUUUGUUUAGGUGUGCCCAGUGAGCAGACAAGCCAUGAGUUCUGCACCACCACAGCGACAACAGAAAGAAGGGGUCCUUGCGUCAAAGGGCGCAGCCACAAUUGAGGCCAAAUGCUGCAAUUUGUCAGGAUUGCUGCACUGCUGUUUGCGCACGCAUGCAUAAAACAGCAGAUUGUUCCAGACACACAGUGUUAGGUGCAGGCAGACAUGAAACAAGUCAGUCUUUAGCCUAAGCAUUCUUCCUAGGAAAAGAUUUUAGCCUGAUUGCGGCUCAUGUUGCAAAUAAGUCUUUAUGAUAGUGACACACUUGGUUGGAAGUUAAAACAAAACAGAAUGCAAGAGAGAAGUGAAGUUCAGGUAUAUUUGUAUUCAAGGCACUAUUUUAGAGAGAGACCAGUGAAGGGGCAGUGAUUUUGUUAGAAGAACCAUCACUGUAAGUACUUUACAUUUCUUUUAAAAAACAUAGCCUCUCACUUACCAUGUUUUUUUAAAAACCAACUUUGAACAGCCCUCAAACACUGCUUUAUUGCUGGAAAGCUGCUCUCAUGGCAUAACUCUCUUACUUGUCAUUUAAGGACAGUCCCCCAAAGGGUUAAAUAGGAGUUUCUGGAUGAAUGUUCAGUAUUUGAAAAGUGUGAGCUCUGGUGAUGUGGAUAAGCCUUGCCCAAAAUUAUAUGGUAUGUGAGAGUGCUGUUUUAGCUUCUGACCUCAUCCCUGCCACGUGAAGCAUUCAGUUAAAUAUAGAUUUCAAUGCCCAAUCCACAAUGAUAUUUUUCUCACCGUAGGUGAGCAAAGCCUAUUAAAUAGGGUGUCACCGCCCUGAAUCCCAAGUCUCCUGUAUGCUCCAGUACCUUCCAUUUAUUAGCAGGCUUCUUAGGUUAGAAGCAGCUAGCUCUACAGCAUCCUUAGCAAACCUCUGCUUCUCUAGCAAAGCUGCAUUUUCUGCUACCGUUAAACUAGGCAGAGGCAAAACAAUUUUAUGUAAAACCGAGCGAGUAACUUCAUUCAGAACAAUCAAUGUCAAUUCAGCACAGUGAAAACAAUGCAGGAGGGGCUUCACUAGAGAGAGGAGGUCUACACAUUAAAAAACAAAACAUGAGAACAAGAAAAUAUCAGAAGGGUAAAUACUGGGAAAAUAAACAUCUAUCAGGA